rnacentral:lncRNA from 1 species
AUACUCGCCGCCAUGGCUGCCCAUGGCUCCCGCCACGCUCAGAGUGCUAUUGUUGCUGGAGAGGCCGAGGUUGAGAGCCCCCGGGGGCGCGCGCCAGCUGAUCUGGGCUGGAGGCCAAGCCUCUGCGCGGCAGGUCAGAGUGAAGUUACCGCCCGGCCGCACGCUUGGGGGCGAGGCUGCCAGCUCAGCCACCACAGGCCGGUCUGCAGGGAGAUGAAGACGCUGCUUAGCACUGGGCGAUAAUCAAACACCCUAGGAGGCCUGAGACCACCCUUCUUGGGAUGGACGGGCAAAACUGCUGCCUCCCAAGACACCACCCACCCGCCACGGAAACAAAAGUGCUUUUGUCUUACUGAGAUGGUUGGGGCUGGGGAUUCAGAGAAGUCUCCCAUGGCUGGGGUGGGCCAGAGAGACAGGGAGCCAGAGAGGGGUUAUGUAAUCUUGGGGGGCCUGUAGCCCCUUUGUAGACCAAGUUGUCCUGGACAGAGAGCAGGUCUGCCUGUCUCUGCCUCCCAAGUGUUAAAAUUAUGAGUGUUGGGAAUAGCAUAUACAGCUUUGUGGGUGCUAAUUGAGCACGCUAUCCACUGGACUACAUCCCAGCCCUCACGGCACUUUUCUAGCGGGCUCAGUCCUCUUCAUUCUGCGCUGUCCUCACUCACAUUCCACACCCACAGUGACCGUCCGUGAAUCCGUGCCAUGCGCAUUGGUGGCCACACAGCGGUAGGUCCCCGCAUCCUCUCGGGACACCUGUAGCCUCUCCAGCCUGGCGGCACCCUCCCUGGAGCAAUGCACCCGUGGAGAGGGGCGGCCCCUGGCACUGCAGGCCAGCGCGGUAGCCUCAGCUCCUUCCAGCCAGGUCUGGUGACUCGGGCAACUGGAUUCAUCCAUCUGUGGCGGCGCUGCAGAUCAGCCACCAUAAGGAGGGACGUCAGGGAAGGCAAGGAUCCUGGGACACCCGGUACUUUCCGCCCACCUGGGCCCCUGCUCACACUCCGCGCUCACGACGACUGUUUUGACUGUGGAGCCGUGCCGGUUGGUGGCGUUGCAGAGCUUCUACCUGCUCCUGCCCUGGAACUCUCCUGCCCUGCUUUUUCUGGUGUAGACGCCCCGCCCACUUUAUUGGCUCCGCCUCUGUGAGACUCUGGUUCCAGCCCCAGCCAAUGAAGGCCCCCUGGAUUCCCCUUACUGUAAACAGUCAGGUUUUCCUGGGUCUCCCUGCUUUCGCCCCCGAGGGUCACGACGCACAUCAGCUGUUUGGUGCCUUCCUGUUCUGCGCUUGCUGUAGCUGUGGCAGUGGCCACAAGGCUGUCCCCAUCGAGGGUCACAUUAGGAUUGAGCCUCUGAUCUCCCAGAGAGAGGUAAACCCCGGCUUCUGGGGCAGGAAACAGUCCAUCCAACGUGCAAGUCACCGGCCUUUCUGAGUCCACUUCUAAGACUCGGGGAGCAAUAAGACUCGGGGAAUGUGGAGGCAUGGCUGGGGCGGACAAAGAACAGGAUUUGAGUUUAUGAACUAAGCAUUCAGUGUUGACAAGCCAAUUUGCAUGCAUUGUUUGGUUUCAUCCUAAAAAUACAGAAGGGCGGGCGAGAUGGCACCACAAGUUUAGGUGCUUGUUGUUAAGCCUGACUUGACUCGAUCCCCAGGACCUACAUGAUGGAAAGAGAGAACUAAACUCCUACUUAUCCUUUAACUUCCACACAUGCACUGUGGCAUGUGCAUAAACGCAUAUACACACACUCUCUUUUUCUCUCAAUAAAUAAAUGCAUAAAGAAAAA